GGGUAUGGUGCUGGAAUUACUAGACCGUUCGUUAAUUGUGAAAACCCCGUAGAUGGACAAUAUGGUCAAUGAACGGAAUGGUCACAGUGCUUCACCACAUGUGAUGAGGGUACGAAGUAUCGAACCCGGCGUUGUUACAGUCCACUUCCGGCCAAUGGAGGAGCUGAAUGUGUUGGGGCACACUUGGAAUCUCAGACUUGCAACCUAGAGCCUUGUGCAAUCAAAGAUGGUUUCACAGACUGGUCUGAAUGGAGCGCUUGUCAAGCCUUCGAUGCUGGCUAUUGUACCGGAUUCUCCGAGAGGUCUCGAUCGUGUUCGAACCCGGCAGCGAGGUUCGGCGGUCUGUCGUGCGAAGGAAACACCCGCGAGAUACAGAGAUGCACCGUUUGCUAGUCCACGAGCAUUAUAGUAUUACUAUAAUAAGCUUUCGUCUCCUAUGGAAACUUGAAAUCCAAUUUACUAUUUAUAUAGUGUAUAUAUUGAAUAAAUUGCAAAUGAAACAUUAUUUCAA